rnacentral:lncRNA from 13 species
AAGAAAGGACGGCUGAUCUAAGUCCCUUUUGAAAUGCGCGGACACCGUGGAACUAAAGAUACAGAAAAAUUUCGGACAAAACAAUUAUUUGAGUAUGACUGUGCUUCUCCCUCUGGAACAGCGUCCAAGGUUGCACACUAGGAAUGCAGGCUGCUAUCUGCACGUCUCUGGCAGGGCAGAAUGGUUGACUGAAUAUUUUAAGCCUCUGUUGAGACCAAAACCUCAGAAGAUUUCUUCAAAAUACUACUGCUCAUUGACAGUACACUUGGUCACACAACGGGCUGUGAUGGAAAUGUACAAAGAAAUUUAUAUUGUUUUCAUCCUUGCUAACACAAAAUACAUUCUGAUCCCCAUGGAGCCAGGAGAAAUCUCGACUUUUCAAGUUUUUUUUAUUUAAGAAAUAUAUUUCAUAAGACUAUAGUUGCCAUAGAUAGUAAUUUGUCUGAUGGACCUGGGAAAACUAAAUUGAAAACCGUCUGCAACAGUUUCACUGUUAAAGAGGCCAUUGAAAACAUUUAGGAUACCUGUAUGAGGUCAAGAUAUUAACAUUAAUAUGAGUUUGAAAGAAGCGGAUUUUAAUCUUCGUGAAUGAUUUGAGGAGUUUAAGACUUUAU